rnacentral:rRNA from 1 species
GAUGAGCGCUGGCGGCGUGCCUAAUACAUGCAAGUCGAGCGAAUGGAUUAAGAGCUUGCUCUUAUGAAGUUAGCGGCGGACGGGUGAGUAACACGUGGGUAACCUGCCCAUAAGACUGGGAUAACUCCGGGAAACCGGGGCUAAUACCGGAUAACAUUUUGAACCGCAUGGUUCGAAAUUGAAAGGCGGCUUCGGCUGUCCCUUAUGGAUGGAACCGCGUCGCAUUAGCUAGUUGGUGAGGUAACGGCUCACCAAGGCAACGAUGCGUAGCCGACCUGAGAGGGUGAUCGGCCACACUGGGACUGAGACACGGCCCAGACUCCUACGGGAGGCAGCAGUAGGGAAUCUUCCGCAAUGGACGAAAGUCUGACGGAGCAACGCCGCGUGAGUGAUGAAGGCUUUCGGGUCGUAAAACUCUGUUGUUAGGGAAGAACAAGUGCUAGUUGAAUAAGCUGGCACCUUGACGGUACCUAACCAGAAAGCCACGGCUAACUACGUGCCAGCCACCGCGGUAA